rnacentral:rRNA from 1 species
ACCUCGGAUCAGGUAGGACUACCCGCUGAACUUAAGCAUAUCAAUAAU